UACAGAGGUCCCGAGCGUUGUUCGGAUUCACUGGGCGUAAAGGGUGCGCAGGUGGGUUGGCAAGUUUGAUGUGAAAGCCCCGGGCUUAACCCGGGAAUGGCAUUGAAUACUGUUAAUCUGGAGGAUCGGAGGGGGGACUGGAAUUCUUGGUGUAGCAGUGAAAUGCGUAGAUAUCAAGAGGAACACCAGUGGCGAAGGCGAGUCCCUGGACGAUACCUGACACUGAGGCACGAAAGCCGGGGGAGCAAACAGG
rnacentral:rRNA from 1 species